GCGUAGCUUAACACAAAGCAUGGCACUGAAAAUGCCAAUAUGGGUCAUAAAAAACCCCGCACGCA
rnacentral:tRNA from 1 species